UGGGGAAUAUUGGGCAAUGGAGGAAACUCUGACCCAGCGACGCCGCGUGCGGGAUGAAGGCCUUCGGGUUGUAAACCGCUUUCAGCAGGGAAGAAGCGAACGUGACGGUACCUGCAGAAGAAGCACCGGCUAACUAUGUGCCAGCAGCCGCGGUAAGACGAACCGUGCAAACGUUGUUCGGAAUCACUGGGCUUACAGGGCGCGUAGGCGGGUCGGCACGUCUGAGGGUGCAAGACCACGGCUCAACUG
rnacentral:rRNA from 1 species